rnacentral:rRNA from 1 species
CCAAUAGCGUAUAUUAAAGUUGUUGCAGUUAAAAAGCUCGUAGUUGAAUUUCGGGAUCAAUAUAUCGGUCGUGCCUUGGUACGUACUGGUAUCAUUGGUUUCUCCUUUCUGACGAACCAUGAUGUCAUUAAUUUGGUGUUAUGGGAAGUUAGGACUGUUACUUUGAAAAAAUUAGAGUGUUUAAAGCAGGCUUUAGCUUGAAUACAUUAGCAUGGAAUAAUGAAAUAGGACGUUCGAACCUAUUUUGUUGGUUUCUAGGAUCAACGUAAUGAUUAAUAGGGGUAGUUGGGGGCAUUAGUAUUCAAUUGUCAGAGGUGAAAUUCUUGGAUUUAUUGAAGACUAACUACUGCGAAAGCAUUUGCCAAGGAUGUUUUCAUUAAUCAAGAACGAAAGUUAGGGGAUCGAAGACGAUCAGAUACCGUCGUAGUCUUAACCAUAAACUAUGCCGACUAGGGAUCGGAUGAUGUUAAUUUUUUAAUGACUCAUUCGGCGCCUUACG